UAAAGCCCUUUUAACAUCACAAAGUGUUUUACAGAUUCCCAGCCUAAAACCCCACAGAGCAAUGCAGAUGCACAAUGCUCUACAAUGGUUUUUCCUUUCUCUGUUUACAGGAAGGAGAGUCUGAGUGCCAUGUUUAAAACCGGUUUCUAUAUCAACGACCUGAGUAUGCAUGAGUCCAGUAGAGCCCUGGUACUGGCACUAUAAAGGGAAUAGGGUGCGACCUACGGUUGAGACCAUAGGUCAUGCAUGGUGGUGGCGGGGGGCUCCAGAGAAGACCAUGCCCACAACAUCUGUGACAUGGUGGCGGCUGGGGUAUUGGGUCAUAAAAGGCCAUGAUACAGUCUCCAUGGCGAUACAGUCCACACUGCAUCAGAGAGAGAGAUUCUGUUUAUGGCUAUCUCACAACACAGCUGGAAGACGAAGGCCAUCAUUACUGAAAUUAUUUCCAAAUCACUGCCAUCAAAACAUUAUUAUAUUCUGUAAUCAGAUGUUUUUGUAACAUGAUACUCCCUGCCGUUGAACCAAUUUGUUGCAAAGGUUUCUGAAAAAAUCUGAGAACGAGAGAACAAAUAUAUUAUUGUGUGAACUAUUUUAAUCAACAUCACCCUAAACUGUCAAUCACAAACCCUAGCUUGGUGUUGGGGCUCUGUCAUCACUGGUCUGUCUUUGAGUCUGUGCAUUAAAUUAAGUGCUAAAGUCAAUGACUGCUAAAGGUUUGUGAGCCAGCUAAUCGAUCAUCAGGAGGCAGCAGUGACUCACCUUCUCACCAAAGGCUCUCUGACCGUCUGCUCUCUGCAACUUUAAUGAUCAACAUCCCAGCUGUCCAUUAAAACCAACACUUC